GGUCGCGUGGCCCAACUAGCAGAGGCAUUCGACUUAAAAUCGAAGAGAUGCGGGUGCAAAUCCUGCCGCGACCA
rnacentral:tRNA from 1 species